GUGGAUCGAGUGAUCUAUUUACUCUCAGCUCCCACCUUCUAAACGUUUUUCACAUGGGUUGGGAGGGGUCAGGGAGCCGUGCCCCCCUCCUCCCCCAGGACACCUGCCUGACUCUGCCUUUCCCAGGUGGCCCACCUCCGGGCGCACGUGCUCAUCCACACCGGGGAGAAGCCCUACCCGUGCGAGAUCUGCGGCACCCGUUUCCGGCACCUCCAGACGCUGAAGAGUCACUUGAGAAUCCAUACCGGAGAAAAGCCCUACCAUUGUGAAAAGUGCAACUUGCACUUCCGACACAAGAGCCAACUCCGGCUGCACCUCCGGCAGAAACACGGCGCCAUCACUAACACCAAGGUGCAGUACCGCCUGUCGUCCGUCGACGCUGUCCCGGAACUCUCCAAGGCGUGUUGAGGACUAGCGUCAUGAAAACGGCGGACGUCGCCCAGGAGAAGAGGCUCCUUCCGCGAAAGGGCAGGUGUGAGGCGGUCCAAAGGAUGCUUCGAUCACUUUAGGAGAAAAACAAAACAAAAGACAAAAAAACAACAACCCCAAACCCCGUUGUCGUUCUUGCUGUUUGUGUUGUCGUUGUCGUUACACACGUUGGAGUGCCUCGAGAAAGCCCGGAGCGAAAGGAAAAGACGGGGGUUUGUGCGAAACAGGGACACGUUUUACGUUCGGCUUACGUCGGUUCGGUUUUGUUUCCACACACCCCACCUCCCCAAGUUGUGUAAACUUUCACCGUCAGACUACUUGUGCGUGUGUGUGUGUGUGUGUGUGUGUGUGUACAAACAAAAGAGAGAAGGUCAGCGACCUUUCUUACAAUGUCCGUGCGGGAGAAUGUCAAAAAAUAUCGUGUUCCCCUCGGCCCACUCCCCGCGGGGGGG